rnacentral:rRNA from 1 species
AAUGCUGACAUAAGUAACGAUAAAGCGGGUGAAAAGCCCGCUCGCCGGAAGACCAAGGGUUCCUGUCCAACGUUAAUCGGGGCAGGGUGAGUCGACCCCUAAGGCGAGGCCGAAAGGCGUAGUCGAUGGGAAACGGGUUAAUAUUCCCGUACUUGGUGUUACUGCGAAGGGGGGACGGAGAAGGCUAUGUUGGCCGGGCGACGGUUGUCCCGGUUUAAGCGUGUAGGUGUGUGUUCCAGGUAAAUCCGGUUCACUUUAACACUGAGGCGUGACGACGAGGCACUACGGUGCUGAAGCAACAAAUGCCCUGCUUCCAGGAAAA